UAUUGUGGUUUCGACAAGGUCUUC
rnacentral:siRNA from 1 species